AGUCGAGCGGACGAAGGGAGCUUGCUCCCGGAUGUUAGCGGCGGACGGGUGAGUAACACGUGGGUAACCUGCCUGUAAGACUGGGAUAACUCCGGGAAACCGGAGCUAAUACCGGAUAGUUCCUUGAACCGCAUGGUUCAAGGAUGAAAGACGGUUUCGGCUGUCACUUACAGAUGGACCCGCGGCGCAUUAGCUAGUUGGUGAGGUAACGGCUCACCAAGGCGACGAUGCGUAGCCGACCUGAGAGGGUGAUCGGCCACACUGGGACUGAGACACGGCCCAGACUCCUACGGGAGGCAGCAGUAGGGAAUCUUCCGCAAUGGACGAAAGUCUGACGGAGCAACGCCGCGUGAGUGAUGAAGGUUUUCGGAUCGUAAAGCUCUGUUGUUAGGGAAGAACAAGUGCAAGAGUAACUGCUUGCACCUUGACGGUACCUAACCAGAAAGCCACGGCUAACUACGUGCCAGCAGCCGCGGUAAUACGUAGGUGGCAAGCGUUGUCCGGAAUUAUUGGGCGUAAAGGGCUCGCAGGCGGUUUCUUAAGUCUGAUGUGAAAGCCCCCGGCUCAACCGGGGAGGGUCAUUGGAAACUGGGAAACUUGAGUGCAGAAGAGGAGAGUGGAAUUCCACGUGUAGCGGUGAAAUGCGUAGAGAUGUGGAGGAACACCAGUGGCGAAGGCGACUCUCUGGUCUGUAACUGACGCUGAGGAGCGAAAGCGUGGGGAGCGAACAGGAUUAGAUACCCUGGUAGUCCACGCCGUAAACGAUGAGUGCUAAGUGUUAGGGGGUUUCCGCCCCUUAGUGCUGCAGCUAACGCAUUAAGCACUCCGCCUGGGGAGUACGGUCGCAAGACUGAAACUCAAAGGAAUUGACGGGGGCCCGCACAAGCGGUGGAGCAUGUGGUUUAAUUCGAAGCAACGCGAAGAACCUUACCAGGUCUUGACAUCCUCUGACAACCCUAGAGAUAGGGCUUUCCCUUCGGGGACAGAGUGACAGGUGGUGCAUGGUUGUCGUCAGCUCGUGUCGUGAGAUGUUGGGUUAAGUCCCGCAACGAGCGCAACCCUUGAUCUUAGUUGCCAGCAUUCAGUUGGGCACUCUAAGGUGACUGCCGGUGACAAACCGGAGGAAGGUGGGGAUGACGUCAAAUCAUCAUGCCCCUUAUGACCUGGGCUACACACGUUCUGCAAUGGACAGAACAAAGGGCUGCGAGACCGCAAGGUUUAGCCAAUCCCACAAAUCUGUUCUCAGUUCGGAUCGCAGUCUGCAACUCGACUGCGGAAGCUGAAUCGCUGUAUCGCGAU
rnacentral:rRNA from 1 species